rnacentral:lncRNA from 1 species
ACAGAACCGGUGGGGAAUGGACUGCAGAUACAGCACAUACCUGCCCUGGAAGGGAGAUCUGGCCAGAUACAGCACAUACCUGCCCUGGAAGGGAGAUCUGGCCAGCUGCAGUUUGCUAAAGCCACACCAGGUAAUAGGAAAAGAGCCUCUUUAUGAUGGGCUGUGUUGCUGAACUUGGUCUUAGUUUGGCUCUGGCUGGCUAUCCAGGGUGAUCCAGCUGGCUGGUCUGGGAGGAUAUGUUGACCCAGCCAUCAGCUGGCCUCUCUGGGUUCAGAUCUUUUUGUUGCAAAAACCUACUCAGAGCUUGAGAAGAAUGGACUUGGGAUGAGCUAGAAAAACUGGAACAGCCCAGGCCCAUGAGAUCUGGGGUUUCCAGGUUAUUUACUAGGGUGCCUGGUUGGUUCCUCAUUCUCAGACAGCAGAUUUGGGCCUUGGCUAUGACUCUUCCAGUUGAGGGACACUUCUGGGAGAGACAUUUCCUCUCAUCUGGGUUGACAUGGCUUUUUCUUGGCUUUGUUGUUCUUUGAAAUGUUAUUAAAUGCAGUAUUUGACCCUGCCAUGUCGUUCUCCAUCCAGUGACACCCCCUAGCAAUGCCCAAUGAGCAUACCAGUAAUUUUAGGGCUAGAAUAUGCAUUCCUGGGCCUUGGGGCAGCCCGGGCAAGUCUGCGGAUCCUUGUGCAUGCGUGUCACAAGAAAGGGUUGCCCACAUGGAGUAUACUGCCAUGUUUGUCCACAGAUAGGUAACAACAAAUGCCACCUGCUUUCCCGUAACCCUAGCAAAACACAGAACUUUGUAGACUUUGCCUGUUUGCCCUUGGACAUUUAGGUAUGUAGUACAAACAUUAGAGUGCCUCAAACUAUUGCAAAAUUGCCAGGCCAAACACUAGGUAGGUUAAUUAUUUACAGAGACUGGAUUGAUUGUCCAAACCUGCACAAACAGAUAGGCUUUUCCCUUGGGAGGCAUCUUCAGCCUCUUCGCCUGUAAACUCUUGUAUGCUUUUGUUCCAGUGUCAUUUCUUUCUUUGCAUUCAGUAGAUAAUCAUCAUGGCAAUUAUAAUUUCAAUGUUUAUGCUAUUUAGUAUAGAAUGAAGUUAAAACAACUUAUUUCUCUACCAAUAAACGCUUAAUUCGAUGGUAA